CACGCCGCAGGCGCCGCGCGGCGAUGCAGGACCGCGGCGGCGCCGAGCCUUGACUAAAGAUGGCCGCGCUGCCCGGUGGGAACAUGGCGGGGGGCGGCCGGGGGGCGCGGGUGCUGCUGCUGCUGCUGCUCGGCGGCUGCCUGGGCCGGCGGCCCCCGGCCGCCGCCGCCGCCGCGCCGCCCGCCGCCGUCCCCUCGGCGGCGGCGGAGGAGACGGUGAUCAUCGGCCUGCGGCUGGAGGACACGGACGACGUCUCCUUCAUGGAGGGGGGCGCGCUGCGGGUGAGCGAGCGGACGCGGGUGAAGCUGCGGGUCUACGGGCAGAACAUCAACAACGAGACGUGGUCGCGCAUCGCCUUCACGGAGCACGAGCGGCGGCGGGGCGGGCGGGCGGCGGCGGCGGCGGGGGCUGCGGGGCGCGGCGGCGGCGCGGCGGGAGGCGGCGGCGGCGGCGCCCCGCAGCGCUGCGGCAUCCGCACCUCGGACAUCAUCAUCCUGCCGCACAUCGUGCUCAACCGCCGCACCUCGGGCAUCAUCGAGAUCGAGAUCAAGCCCCUGCGCAAGACGGAGAAGAGCAAGUCCUACUACCUGUGCACCUCGGUGUCGGCCCCCGCCGCCGCCGCCCUGGGGCCCGGGGCCGCCGGCGGGCUGGCGGGGGCCGAGGGGCCGGCGGGGCCCCCGCCCUGGGGCGAGACCACCUGGAUCUACCACGACGGCGAGGACACCAAGAUGAUCGUGGGCGAGGAGAAGAAGUUCCUGCUGCCCUUCUGGCUGCAGGUCAUCUUCAUCUCGCUCCUGCUCUGCCUCUCGGGCAUGUUCAGUGGCCUCAACCUGGGCCUCAUGGCGCUGGACCCCAUGGAGCUGCGCAUCGUGCAGAACUGCGGCACGGACAAGGAGAAGAACUACGCCAAGCGCAUCGAGCCCGUGCGCCGCCAGGGCAACUACCUGCUCUGCUCCCUCUUGUUGGGCAAUGUCCUGGUCAACACUACGCUCACCAUCCUGCUGGAUGACAUUGCUGGCUCUGGGCUGGUGGCCGUGGUGGUCUCCACCAUCGGUAUCGUCAUCUUCGGCGAGAUCGUGCCGCAGGCCAUUUGUUCUCGGCACGGCCUGGCCGUGGGCGCCAACACCAUCUUCCUCACUAAGUUUUUCAUGAUGAUGACCUUCCCGGCCUCCUACCCAGUCAGCAAGCUGCUGGACUGCGUCCUGGGCCAGGAGAUCGGCACGGUCUAUAACCGUGAGAAGCUGCUGGAGAUGCUGCGGGUCACCGACCCUUAUAAUGACCUAGUCAAAGAGGAGCUCAACAUUAUCCAAGGAGCCCUGGAGCUACGCACCAAGACAGUGGAGGAUGUGAUGACUCCACUCCGAGACUGCUUCAUGAUCGCUGCUGAGGCUGUGCUCGACUUCAACACUAUGUCUGAGAUUAUGGAGAGUGGUUAUACCCGCAUCCCUGUCUUUGAGGGUGACCGCUCCAACAUUGUGGACCUCCUCUUCGUUAAGGACCUGGCUUUCGUGGACCCUGAUGACUGCACUCCGCUCAAGACCAUCACCCGGUUCUACAACCAUCCGCUGCAUUUUGUCUUCAAUGACACCAAGCUUGAUGCCAUGCUGGAGGAGUUCAAGAAAGGCAAGUCACACCUGGCUAUAGUACAAAGAGUAAACAAUGAAGGAGAAGGGGAUCCUUUUUAUGAAGUCCUGGGAAUUGUCACUUUAGAAGAUGUGAUUGAAGAGAUCAUCAAAUCUGAAAUUCUGGAUGAAACAGACCUAUACACUGAUAACAAGACGAAAAAGAAAGUAGCCCAUCGGGACAGGAAGCAGGACUUCUCUGCCUUCAAACAGACAGACAGCGAGAUGAAGGUUAAAAUAUCACCGCAGCUCCUCCUGGCAAUGCACCGUUUCCUGGCAACAGAAGUAGAAGCCUUUGGUCCAUCCCAGAUGUCAGAGAAGAUCCUUCUCAGGCUGCUAAAACAUCCCAACGUCAUCCAGGAGCUGAAAUAUGAUGAGAAGAACAAGAAAGCCCCAGAAUACUACCUCUACCAGCGAAACAAGCCUGUCGACUACUUUGUUCUCAUUUUACAGGGGAAAGUGGAAGUGGAGGCUGGGAAAGAGGGGAUGAAGUUUGAAGCUGGUGCUUUUUCCUACUAUGGGGUGAUGGCCCUGACAGCAUCGCCAGUUCCCUUGUCCCUGUCUCGUACCUUUGUUGUCAGCAGAACAGAGUUGUUAGCAGCAGGUUCUCCAGCUGAAAACAAGUCUCCACCUCGGCCCUGUGGCUUGAAUCACUCAGACUCUUUAAACCGAAGUGAUCGCAUCGAUGCAGUGACGCCAACGUUAGGGAGCAGCAACAACCAACUGAAUGCGUCUUUCCUCCAGGUGUAUGUCCCGGACUACUCAGUGAAAGCACUCACAGACAUUCAGUUUGUCAAGAUCUCAAGACAGCAGUACCAAAAUGCCCUGAUGGCAUCCCGGAUGGACAAAACACCUCAGUCCUCGGACAGUGAAAACACUAAAAUCGAACUGACUCUUACGGAGCUGCAUGACGGUUUGCCGGAUGAGACAGCAAACCUGCUGAACGAACAAAACUGUGUGACUCACAACAAGCCCAACCACAGUAUGCACAGUGAAGGAGCCAUCUAGGAGCUGAGUCCCCACAACCCACCCAUCCCAUCUCCUCAGCAGGACCAGUCCUCGCUCUUUCCUGCCUCCUCCUUGAGUGUGAACACCGUUAGUAUGUGCUUGCAACACUGUGCUGCAUCCAGUGUUCUGAGACCAAAGACUUUUGCAUCCAUUCUGGGAGCAGAAGAGGAAGAAACAGGAAGAAAGGAGCAAAGAGCAAGAUAGAGAGACUAAAGCCCCAAGCGUACUUUGGGAAUGGUGAGCCACCCUUGAGAACGAUGAAAAUACUUCUCGCAGAGUAGAAUCAUGUUUAUUUUUUAUCUGUAUUUUGCACCCUUGUUGGGUUUUUCCUCCUCAAACACAUAUGGAGAAGUUUAAAAACUGCUCCGAUUAUUUUUUCAAGAGAGAUCAUGUUUUUAAAAAAUAUUUUGCAGAGUUUUAAAUUGUUUCUGUCCCUCCCCAACCUGAAGUAAGCUCUGUCGUGGUUUUGUAAAUUGGCUUCAAUGUUCUUAGACCUCUUUUCACCCCUCUCUGGUUCUUUUUGUUGCCCUGUUGAAGAAGUUAGUAACCGGUACUUGUAUGUGUUUGUCUCCUAAGAAUGAGCAAAGCUUCAAGGAACCUCUGGUUUGGGCCACCUGGAGGGUCAAGGGAUGAGUAUCAUUGCAUUCUUCCAGUUAACUUUCAGGGAAGGAGUGAUUAUUUUGGUAUGUAAUGAUCUCUCAAAUUGCAGAAGGUUUCUUUGCAAAACAUACAAAAGUGUUGUUACACUUAGCUUUGUAACCUCCAAAAACUUUGUGUAUGUUGAAGAUGAUACUGGGGGGAAGGGAUUAAUUAGCAAAAUGGCAGUCUUGGGAAAUGAAAGCAGGGGCAGUUUUCCGUAGUGGUGUAACUGAGGGAUUUUCCUUUGAUGUUCCUGAGAAUUACAUCAUUAAGUUAACUCUGUGCACCCCAAAAUGACAAACUUUAAAUAGCCCCAUGCCGUGAUAGUCUGUGCGCCGCUAACUUGGCCACAGCAGACUCACAGUCUUUGUUAAGUAACAGAGAGAACAACGGUCCCUCUUUCCCCCCUUAAAUCUCUAGUGUCAACGGAAAAGAUGCUGCUACAGUAAUGCCCAAAGUACAUCCUCCAGGUGACAGUAAACCUCUGCCAGUGCAAGGAUGGGCUCUGCGGAGGAGUCGGGACCAUCCUGUCCUCUCCAAGAACUGAUAAAACUUUCCAGAUGCGAGUGUAUUGCACUUCAGGGAUUCGGAGAGGUUCACUUCCAGGCUGUUCCCAGCCACAUUCCUUCCUUUGAGAAGAUUCAGUGUAUUUCCUUCUCUCUCUCUCUCUCUCCUUUUAACAGCCAUUUUAGAGAUUACCGUGGUAGCCGAACAGAGAGCUUCCCACCAGGCUGCUCUUAGUGCAGGACAGCCAGUGUCAAGCAGCAGAAAGCAAUUUCUGCAGCCUGAAAACCAGCAUGUGGACUGGGUGCAAGAGAGACCUACCCCGUGGCGGUUGUGCAUCACACCUUGGCAUUCCCCACUCCCUCAAAUGGACUUUAAGUCCCAGCUGGGUCCACGAACAACAAAAAGGUCCCCCCUCUCCCGAUCGUCUCCCAUGUCAGGGUUGUCUAAACAAAAUGGGAACGUUGCCCUCAGCAUUAGGUUCUGGAGAGAAGAACAAAUGAGGCAUUUGCGAUGUCUAGUUCAAGACUGUUCCAUGGCUUUGGUUAGGUAGCAUUUCUCUUCCUUUCUUUACACUCAGAUAAUCUCAUCCGACCCUCCAAGAACCCCCUAGUCCCAAAUGCAACUGCAGUGUGUCCUGCCCCACAUCUCUCCUGCUCUCUGUUCAGGGCAGGCACUUGCCUGUGCGUUCCUGUGCUGUGUCUUUGCAAGUGUUUCCUGGAAAGGUGCAAUAUUUUGCUGCAGUUGCUCCCUGCAGGAAAUCGGAGUGUGUGGCUUUAGGGCAGGUCUUGUGUGCGCGUGUCUCGCUUUUGCGCUCUCUCGGCUUCGGGAAGCAGCCCUGAUUUUUGCUCUCCUCUCUGCAUGCAGCCACAGACGGAUCCUGCAGGCCCGCUCCCUUUCUUGGAAGGGGCAGCAGCUGUAAGGGUAACGUUCCCACAAGGGGGCAUAGAAAUUCCACGGUGUCUCCUAUGUGCGUUGAGUGAUAAGGAGACCAGGCCCCCAAACUUCACUCUCAUGUUCAACAUCUGUUCACUUUUUUGAAUCACGGCUUUUCCCACCUAAAAGGGUUUCCUCAGUCUCCAGCCUUGCUCUGACAUGCCUCUGGCGGCACCGGCCCACCACGUCCACCCCUGGCUGCCUGCAGCAGCCUGAGGUUACCAUGGCUCAGCAUCAGCCCAGGCUGAUCUCAGCCCGGCUCCUUCCUGGAGAGCUGCAAGUAUUGCACCUUUCUCACAGAGCAAAGCGGUGAGAUGUUACUGUGCUUGUCCUGGUGGGGCGAGUGACUUGUCUCCCCACGUUUUAUCUAGUGUUGCUGAAUGUAAAAGUCUAUUCAAAAUGCUUGACGCGGUGGUGAACCUGAGAUGCAGUAUCCGUCUUGUCGACCCUGCCAAAGAAAGGAAGGCUCAAGUCAAGGCAGCUUCCCCACUCUGGGACUGAGGUUGCUUGCUCGAUCUUACUUCUGCUUGUUAUGUCAGGUUGUGGAUUUGUUUUAGUGUCUGUUUCCAUUAAAAAAAAAAAAAAAGAAAAGAAAAGAAAAAAAAAGAGAAAGCCUAUUUUUCCAACCAAAGCCAUGUGAUCCCAAAGCAAAUACCUCCUGCUUCUGCCCAUGCUGCACUGUUCUAAAAUUUGCAGGCAAUUUUUGCAUGACUGUUUUUUGUCAUUUGUACGGUUCCAGUAAUGGAAAAUGAAAUAAUUUCCAUAAAAAUAGUUUGAUUAUAGAUGUAUUUCAUGUGGAAAAUAUGUACCUGACCCAGAGGGGUUAGGAGCUGCUGCUACUAAUUAGCUUGAAGAGCAGGGCAUGGUCCUCUCCACAGAGGGGAAAAAUCCAGUCUCCCUGUUCUCAGGGUAUUUACAGUUUUACUGUUUAACAGAUGGAAGGGGUUCCCAGCCCUUGUGCUGGGAACCGACAUAAGUAGAGGAGCCCUGUGCCUGGCUCAGGAUUGCUGCUGAGACUCAGGACAGUGUUUGCCAAUGCAGAGUCUUGGCUUUCCCUACAGUGAGGGAAGCGCAGUGGCUUCUGCGUCCGUACUGCUGCAGGACGUGUCCUAUCACAGCAGGUCUGGUUUCUCGGGCUUGCUGGCUGCCUGCCUGCAUUCAGGUGGGCUCCGAUGCUGGAUUUUGUGCCACAGUGCCACGUGUACACGUGGCAGAGCUGGCAGUCGGUGCUGCGGUACAGGGCACCUGCCGAUGGCUUUGGGAAUCGCUGGACUUGACCUCAGACCUUGGCAAGGUUUUGACUCGUAGGAGGGAUACUGCAUCUUCGUUUGUCAGCUCCUGUUGCCUUUGUUGUUCACCUUGUCCAUCUGCCUCCAGUUUAUGCAUUUUUCCCUCCUCCAUGCUUCCCCCCCGUUUCCAAAGGGACGGAUUCUGGCGUGUGGGUGACGGGGCUGAUGCUGGUGAUCUUUGCGGAUCAGAAAUCGCUGUCGGCACAGCAGCAGUCUUCUACCUCCGCUUUAGUUGCCGAGAGCCGCGGAAGGGGCCAGAUCCUGCUCCCCGUAGAGCCAGGUCUUGCUCUUUGCUUUGGUGGGUCGUGAAUGCUCGAGCCAGGGAGGAUAGCUGGGAAGCUGGUGGUGACAGACAGCAGUUGACUUUCUGAAGUGUUCCCUCAGCAGCGGCGGUCUUUCUUUUUUCUUCCACUAAUAAAAAUCCCUUAUUUACAACCUU